rnacentral:rRNA from 1 species
GGAGGAUGCGAGCGUUAUCCGGAUUUAUUGGGUUUAAAGGGAGCGCAGACGGGUCGUUAAGUCAGCUGUGAAAGUUUGGGGCUCAACCUUAAAAUUGCAGUUGAUACUGGCGUCCUUGAGUGCGGUUGAGGUGUGCGGAAUUCGUGGUGUAGCGGUGAAAUGCUUAGAUAUCACGAAGAACUCCGAUUGCGAAGGCAGCGCACUAAGCCGUAACUGACGUUCAUGCUCGAAAGUGUGGGUAUCAAACAGGAUUAGAUACCCUGGA